GCCAAGUGCAGUGGCGCAUGCCUGUAGUCCCAGCUACUCGGGAGGCUGAGGCUGGAGGAUCUCUUGAGUCCAGGAGUUCUGGGCUGUAGUGCGCUAUGCCGAUCAGGUGUCUGCAAUAAGUUCAGCAUCAAUAUGGUGAUCUCCCAGGAGCGGGGGACCACCAGGUUGCCUAAGGAGGGGUGAACCAGCCCAGGUCGGAAACGGAGCAGGUCAAAACUGCUGUGCUGAUCAGUAGUGGGAUUGUGCCUGUGAACAGCCACUGCACCUCAGCCUGGGCAACAUAGCGAGACUCCAUCUCU
rnacentral:SRP_RNA from 1 species